ACUCCCGGAAAACCUACAAAUUAUCCCCUUCAUCAAUCAAAUCAUUAGUGAAUCUGUUAAAUACUGAUGUGGCGAAUGUGGGUUCUAUUUUUUAAUGACAUGGACUUACAGGUGGACAAAUAAAUAAUAAAUAAUAAUUUUUAAAUCAUAUUAAAAUCAUUAAAAAAAAUUAAAUUUUUUAAUAAAAAAAUCUCCUCUCUUCUCCUACCUAGCCUCUCCCUCCCGACUCAACCCCACCUCUCAGCCACCUCUCUCUCGUCGCCCACCCCAAACCCUACUCUCUUUCUCUCUCCUUCUCCCUCCCAACCCACCCCAACUUCUCCAGCAUAGGCCCAACCGCAACCUUCGAUCGCUCUGUCCUACAAAUUCUAGCUCCCAAUAAGCGAGUUGUGUUGGGUGAGAUCUCCAACUCGACAAACAACGUCGUUUCCACCCUGAACUCGACUCCAAAGAAACCCAAGAGUAGCUUCAAGAAGAAGAAGACGACGACAAAGAGGGAAGAGGAGGCCCUCAAGACUGAAAUCAUUAUGAGAUCUAUUGAUCCACGCAAGUCUGAUCAUUCGCCUUCUAUAUAUUGCUAUCUUCUUUCAUAGGAGGGUGGCAUCGGCCCGACCUGAUAUCGCCCAUUUCUCGAUGUUUAUAUGAGCUUUGAAGCCCAUUCCAGCCGUUACUACAUCAAAUCGAUCUACAAUACUCAGUCUCGAACUCGAGAAACAAGAGAGGAUGGAUGCCAGAUGAGUUUGACCGUUGACGACAUCAGCGGGAAUGGAUUUGUAAUAGUAGCUAUGAGUUCCGAGUUGACGAAAAAAAUAGCGUCGUCGUAAAGAUUUCGAAGAUUUACAACCUCCUUGGCUUUGAAUGACGACAUUGGUUCCUCAUUUGAGUUGUUUGUGAAACAAAGUUGAAGGAGGAGGAGUUGAAUGUUUGGAAGCAUCAAGUAAGAGUUCAAAUGACCCUCUUUUUUGGGUUUAGGAGUUGAAUGUAUUUUGGGUCAUGAGUUCAUGCAAUUGUAUGUUUUUUGUUGCGAAAUAGUUAUACCGGUGUGCAAUUAUUAUCGUGACUAUGUGCAAUUUCACGUUGAGAUUAUUCAUUUGUCUGAAUUGAAGAGAAAGUAUGUUAGCACUUAAAUUAUAAUGUAAUUUUAGUUUGAAUUUAUGUUUCUUAUGCA